GCAUAUCAAUAAGCGGAGGAAAAGAAACCAACAGGGAUUGCCCUAGUAACGGCGAGUGAAGCGGCAACAGCUCAAAUUUGAAAUCUGGCCUCACGGUCCGAAUUGUAAUUUGUAGAGGAUGUUUCUGGCGACGUGUCUUCCGAGUUCCCUGGAACGGGACGCCAUAGAGGGUGAGAGCCCCGUCCGGUCGUACACCUAGCCUCUGUGAAACUCCUUCGACGAGUCGAGUAGUUUGGGAAUGCUGCUCUAAAUGGGAGGUAUACGUCUUCUAAAGCUAAAUACCGGCCAGAGACCGAUAGCGCACAAGUAGAGUGAUCGAAAGAUGAAAAGCACUUUGAAAAGAGGGUUAAAUAGUACGUGAAAUUGCUGAAAGGGAAGCGCUUAUGACCAGACUUGGGCUCGGUGAAUCAUCCGGCGUUCUCGCCGGUGCACUUUGCCGUCCCAGGCCAGCAUCAGUUCGCGCCGGGGGAUAAAGGUUUCGGGAAUGUAGCUCCUUCGGGAGUGUUAUAGCCCGUUGCGUAAUACCCUGGCGUGGACUGAGGUCCGCGCUCUGCAAGGAUGCUGGCGUAAUGGUCAUCAGUGACCCGUCUUGAAACACGGACCAAGGAGUCGUCUUCGUAUGCGAGUGUUCGGGUGUCAAACCCCUACGCGUAAUGAAAGUGAACGUAGGAGAGAGCUUCGGCGCAUCUCCGACCGAUCCUGAUGUUCUCGGAUGGAUUUGAGUAAGAGCAUACGGGGCCGGACCCGAAAGAAGGUGAACUAUGCCUGUAUAGGGUGAAGCCAGAGGAAACUCUGGUGGAGGCUCGCAGCGGUUCUGACGUGCAAAUCGAUCGUCAAAUAUGGGCAUGGGGGCGAAAGACUAAUCGAACCUUCUAGUAGCUGGUUUCCGCCGA
rnacentral:rRNA from 1 species